AAUAGUUCUGCACGGCAAUGGCAUCUUCAACAACGAACGCUCGAGAUUUAGAACAGAUUGUAAGGGAUGGGCUUAGCACCCUGGUUUUUGCAUUUGGUUUCAAAACUGGUAUCGUGGAUGCUUUUACUGAAAUUCAGCAACCGUGUACAGCAAAGGAAUUGAGCGAAAAAGCUGGAAAAAAAUUAAGAUACACACAAGAAUGGCUAGGUUGUAUGGUUGCAGCAGGGAUUGUAACAAUCACAGACGAUGAAAAAUAUUCACUUCCUCAUGACAAAACUCAACUUAAGAUCUGGGGCCACAAGUGCAGCUGCUAUUACAAUUCUCAGCGAGAUGAUUCCAAAACUUGAGGAAGCAACAAAACUCGAUGGACCAAAAGGCUAUGGAUAUUACGAACCAAUUCUGCAUUGGAUCGACGUGUAUCGUUCAUCAGAGGCUUUACAGGAUUGGAACCAACGGCUUCUUCUUCCAGUAAUGAACCUGAAACAAGGAAACGCAUUUGCAAUAUUAGACAUAGGAUGUGGGUUUGGGAAGCAUUCCAGAGAAGUGGCAAAGCUAUAUCCAUGCUCUAAAAUAACCGCAAUAGACAUGGACCAGUUCUCCAUCGAUAACGCCAAAAAGGAACUCACCAAAAGUGGGCUAAAGAACAUCGAAUACAUAUGUUUGAAAGGAGGGCAACUUCCAGAAGAGUGGGCAAACAAAUUUGAUUUCGUGAUAAUCAACGAUGUUUUGCAUGAUUCCUACGAAGUAGAUGAGAUACUAGAAGGAAUCAAGAGGGUUCUUAAACCUGAUGGAUUUGCGGCCGCUUACGACCCUGCGGUGUCGUCGUAUCACAAAAAGGUUAUCAACGACGCAACGGCGCAGUAUUUUUUACCGUUUAGCUUAUUUCAGUGUCUCCCAGUGAGUAGCAUGGGUCCUAAUGAAGGACUUGGGAUAGGUUGGGGUUACGAACGCCGAAAACAGAAGAUUAAGGAACAUGGUUUUCGAGUUGUGCAGGUCGGAGAUAAAGAUAUUGAUACCAUACAAGAGGGCAUUGUAUUCCAAAAGAUGUAAAAUAUAAAUACUAACUUUGCUUAAAUAUGUAAACCGCAAUAAGAAUGCAAUAUUUGAAUUGAUAAGCAAUAGAAUCUUUAACCCUAGUUUUUCUAAAUCUUUUGUUAUUAUUAUAAUUGUUUUUAAAUUGUCAGAAUUUUUAUCAAAUUGAAUAUAUUUUGUUCAUUAAAGUUAAGCUUUUUA
rnacentral:misc_RNA from 1 species